UGUGUGGCAUGACCCCGCCAACCAACCAAGAUGGCCGCCAAGGCUAAAAAUAGAACAUAGGGGUAAAAUGCAGUUUUUGGCUUAUAACUCAAAAAAACCAAAGCAUUUAGAGCAAAUCUGACAUGGGGUAAAAAUGUUCAUCAGGUCAACAUCUAUCUGCCCUGAAUUUUUCAGGUGAAUCGGACAACCUGUUGUUGGGUUGCUGCCCCUAAAUUGGUUAUUUCAAGGAAAUUUUCCCGUUUUUGGUUAUUAUCUUGAAUAUUAUUAUAGAUAGAGAUAAACUGUAAACAGCAAUAAUGUUCAGCAAAGUAAUAUUUACAAAUAAGUUAACAUGACCGAAAUGGUCAGUUGACCCCUUUAGGAGUUAUUUCCCUUUAUAGUCAAUUUUUAACAAUUUUUUGUAAAUCUUAGUUAUCUUUUACAAAAAUCUUCUCCUCUGAUAAUACGUGGCCAAAUUAAACCAAACUUGGCCACAAUCAUCAUUUGGGUAUUUAGUUUUAAAAAUGUGUGGCGUGACCCGGUCAACUUACCAUGAUGGCCGCCAUGGCUAAAAGUAGAACAUAGGGGUAAAAUUCAGUUUUUGGCUUAUAACUCAAAAACCAAAGCAUUUAGAGCAAAUCUGACAUGGGGUAAAUGUUCAUCAGGUCCAGAUCUAUCUGCCCUGAAUUUUUCAGGUGAAUCGGACAACCUGUUGUUGGGUUUUACAAAAAUCUUCUCUGAAACUACUAAGCCAAGUUAAUUAUAGAUAGAGAUAAUUGUAAGCAGUUAGAAUGUUCAGUAAAGUAAGAUGAACAAACACAUCAUCAUCACCAAAACACAAUUUUGUCAUGAAUCCAUCUACGUCCUUUGUUUAAUAUUCACAAAAACCAAGGUGAGCGACACAGGCUCUUUAGAGCCUCUAGUUUAAGGGUUGGUUU
rnacentral:lncRNA from 1 species